GAUGAACGCUAGCGGCAGGCUUAACACAUGCAAGUCGAGGGGCAGCGCGGAGUAGCAAUACUCUGGCGGCGACCGGCGAAAGGGUGAGUAACGCGUGAGCAACAUGCCCGAUACUGGAGGAUAGUCGAUGGAAACGUCGCGUAAUACUCCGUAACAACAGAGACCGCAUGAUUUUUGUUUAAUAGAUUUAUCGGUGUCGGAUUGGCUCGCGUCCCAUUAGGCAGUUGGCGGGGUAACGGCCCACCAAACCGACGAUCAGUAGGGGUUCUGAGAGGAAGGUCCCCCACAUUGGUACUGAGACACGGACCAAACUCC
rnacentral:rRNA from 1 species